rnacentral:rRNA from 1 species
AGAAUGAACGCUGGCGGCGUGCCUAACACAUGCAAGUCGGAUGUGCCGCAAGGUGCAUGGCAGACGGGUGAGUAACGCGUGGAAAACCUACCUCCUUGUGGGGAAUAACGCUCCGAAAGGAGUGGUAAUACCGCAUGAGACCACGGACUGGGAUGUCCAUGGUGAAACCUGGGGACCGCAAGGCCUGGGGCAAGGAGAGGGUUCUGCGUCUGAUUAGCUAGUUGGUGGGGUAAUGGCCUACCAAGGCGACGAUCAGUAGCCGGCCUGAGAGGGUGAUCGGCCACACUGGAACUGAGACACGGUCCAGACUCCUACGGGAGGCAGCAGUGGGGAAUUUUGCGCAAUGGGCGAAAGCCUGACGCAGCAACGCCGCGUGGGUGAUGAAGGUCUUCGGAUCGUAAAACCCUGUCGUCAGGGACGAAGGUUGCGGGUUGAACAUUCCCGCAACUUGACGGUACCUGGAGAGGAAGCACCGGCUAACUCUGUGCCAGCAGCCGCGGUAAUACAGAGGGGGCAAGCGUUAUUCGGAAUUAUUGGGCGUAAAGGGCGCGUAGGCGGUGUUUUAAGUGAGAUGUGCAAUCCCCGAGCUUAACUUGGGAACUGCAUCUCAGACUGGAACGCUAGAGUACUGGAGAGGGUGGUAGAAUUCCACGUGUAGCGGUGAAAUGCGUAGAGAUGUGGAGGAAUACCAGUGGCGAAGGCGGCCACCUGGACAGUAACUGACGCUGAGGCGCGAAAGUGUGGGUAGCAAACAGGAUUAGAUACCCUGGUAGUCCACGCUGUAAACGAUGAACACUUGGUGUGGCGGGAGUUGACCCCUGCCGUGCCGUAGCUAACGCGAUAAGUGUUCCGCCUGGGGAGUACGGUCG